ACGGAUCUAAGCUAAUGAUAGGAGCCUUCUGUCAAGAUCUUAAUGCACACUUUCUGGUAUCAUAUCAACGAAUCUCCAUAACCUAUAGUAGCAUCAAUAAGAGUAUUAUUUUUACAAACAAUAUUAAAAUGGCCUUAUCCUAUCAAACUAAGAAUUUCAUCCAUACUCCUAUUCUCCAACCCUUUUUUCCUUCGUUCAUUUUAGUAGAAAUAUUAAUGAUGACGAACGAUUGGGUGUGUGUAGCGCUACUCAUCUUUAUCUGUUUCUUUAAAUGCAGUGAAACCAGUUUAACCCAGUAACCUCUAAUCAUUUAGGAACUAAAUGUAUUAUAUCUACUAACAGUAAACAAAGAAACUUCCUUUAUAUUUUGCCCAUCACAAAACAAAAAUUGACGCCAUAUUUUAAACUCAAUAAAGGAUAAAUGUUAACAAUAAAGAAAGGAAAAGACUUCAAGCUUAACACAAAAGCUGGCAGCGAAUCAACAAACUCAAAUAGACUAAAGUUAUGCCUUUAAUUGCACAUAGUAGUGAACAUUAAAUAAACCAAACAUUCCAAAUAAAGCUAAGUAAAGAAACGGACCUCAAAUGGCUGAAAAUUAAUUAUUUCACAUGCUUUAAACUGAAAAUAUAACGAAUGACGGACGGAACUCGAAUCGGUACGGGAAAGCUAAAAACCGACGGAAUUUAGAAUUGACACGGGAAGACUCAACCCAAACACGGAUUCAAACCCACAUCUCAAUCAAAGUCCAUUCUUGAACACAGUCCAGAAUCGAAAAAUAAGAAAUAGAAAAUAUGUAUUCUUUAUAUAUUUUUCAAAUUUCAAAGAACAAGUGAAGAUCUGCAAAAAUGGGUUCCUCGAGCCUCACUGCUAUUCUCUUGAUUUCUGUCCAGAGCCUUAGCUUCCGACAUUCGACGAACUCGGAGAUCUCCGGAAAACUCGAAUUAAAUUAAAACAAUGAAAUCAAUUGACUCUGCGAUAGUUAUUAGCUAUUUGGAGCUACUUCAUACUAUUUGGUGUGCUUUGUGGGUGAAUUUCGCAGUCCCAAAAGUCAGGUGAGUGGCGUGAGGAUUUUUGGAGAUGGAGAUUUGGUGGCCGCUUUCAGGUGGUCUGGCGGAUGUUCCUACCGUUAGGUCUUGGAGAAGAAAAGGAACAGCCAUUGUUUCUCUUUCUCUUCUGAAAAUGGGGGUGGGCGGCGGAUAUUUUGGUGGUGUUGAAGAGGUCAGGGGUCGCCGCUACUUCUUUUAGUUGAAGAAGAUCAGGAAUCGAUUGGGUGGGAGGGUUAUUUUCAGUGUAACGACGGGUAGGGCUCUCUAGGUAUCUAGGUUAGUUUUGUAGGGUUUUUUAGGUUAAGGGGUAUGAGCCUAGGAAUUAUGGGCUAGGUU
rnacentral:lncRNA from 1 species